rnacentral:misc_RNA from 1 species
AACGCAUCUUGCGCUCUCUGGUAUUCCGGAGAGCAUGUCUGUUUGAGUGUCAUGAACUCUUCAACCCACCGGUUUCUAGUUAAACUGCUCGUGGUGCUUGGAUCUUGAGCAUUGCUCUUUGCCUCUGCGCAGAGCUCGCUCGUAAUACAUUAGCAUUCCUGACUCGAAUCGGAUUGACUCGGCGUAAUAGACUAUUCGCUGAGGACAAGCUUCGCGCUUGGCCGACUCGUAGACAAACGAAAGCUUCAAACUAGUCUUUUACAUUUUUAAGAUUAGACCUCAAAUCAGAUAGGACUACCCGCUGAACUUAA